UCAACUCUUGUUUUUGGAAAAACCUCUACCUU
rnacentral:piRNA from 1 species